CUGGCGCGGAGCGGCCCGCGUCCUCCCCGCCAGCCUUUAUACGGCGCUAUUUUAGUCGCGCGCUCUGAUUGGCCAGCCACGGUGACGACACGCCCGGACGCCGAAAGGUGGAGGGGAGAUUGGGCGGAUGUGAACUUCCGGCUGCCGGGUGAGCCCUUAGCUGGAACAAGCCUGGCACAGACCUCCGCACUGGCUCAUUCACUUCAGAAACCAUUUGGAAGAAUUACACAGGAGGCUUGCUUGCUUGAGUUCUGGAGUUGGAGGUUGGCAUAGAUAAAAUCAAUCUCAAAAACAAAUAAGUUAAAUAAACAGAAAGAGAAGCGAAGAAAGAGGGAAAAGAGAAAACAGAAAGAAAGAAGAGAAAGGAAGCCAAGGAUGUAUCGUGGCCCAGUUGGUAGAGUGGAGCUCAAAUGGAAAACCCAACUUUCCCAAAGCUGAAAGCAACUGUGUUAUGCAGACAAUACAAACAUUUGUGAGUGAUUUUUACUUUAGUUUAUUUCAGACUUCGGUGUUAUAUAUAAGGCUUGAUUUUAAAAAAAAAUGUAUUGAAACAGUUUUUUAUAAGAAGUAUCCAGGUCCACUUGAAAUAUCUCCAUGAAGCUGGGGAAAUAACUCACGGGUCCAUCGCUCGCCUAAGAUGGAUGAGGCCCUACGUUCAAUCCUUAACACCAAUGUUUGAAUACGGCACUGCGACAUUAUGAACUUUACACAUGUGGGAACCUACGAGAAGUGAUACUCAACCCUUGAUGCCAUUUAAAGCACAGUUGAAGACUCAGCUAUUUUCUUAAUCUACAAACGAAAUGCUUGCUCCCCAGGGCCUCUGCGCUUAUCAUCCCAUCCAUGAAAUUAUGGGAUGACUUUUGUUCAAAUUAUUCAAGCUUCUGAACUUAGAAUCCGGCAUUUUUACAAUGCUCUGUUAUGACUGUAUAGAUUCUGUAGUUCACCAGACCAGAUAACAGUGUGCCCUGCAGUGAGGCGUUCCCUUAUCUUGAAAAAAUGCAAACACAACAAAUAGGCAUGGAGUUAGGACGCGGACAUUUUGUCUUUUGUUUUUAUUGAGGUCUCCAUGUAUAGACCACCCUGUUCUCUACUCCCGCGCUCAAGGGAUCCCCCUGCUUCAUACACUAAGCAGCUGGAGCUGUGGGGGAAACUGAAGGCCGCCAUCAACAUGUGAGGACCUGCUGCAGUUGGCUUUCCUCCCAAGCUGCUUGCCUAAACUUUGUCCCUUUCUCCUUAUCCAGCUGCAUCUCUCUCACAACAGAAGGGGACUUGCAGUGCACUCUUUAUUGCCCUCAGGAAUGUCAGCUCUUUAUUCUUUGACCUCUUCAUACUUUGGACUUCUCUCAGGUUGUUUAUGUACAUCUGAUUCCCAGCCCUUGCACUGGAUGGAAGAUUUAAAUUCAGUAAUAAACUUCCCACAUCUCC
rnacentral:lncRNA from 1 species